GAACAGCUGUUGUGUCACUGUAUUUAUAUUCAGCAUUCCUUGUAGAGCCCAGAAUGCUUGCCUGUUCAAUUAAUGGACAUAAAAACAUACUAGGUAUUAGAUACCUUCUCUGUGGAUACUUCCUGCACUAGCUAGCAGCACCUAGCAUUAGGUCGCGUUGUAGGUGUACGUGCACGUGGAUUCUGGUGUCUCGGCAUCGGGGCUCACGUGCAGCCGGGCGGAGGGAAGCCGGCCCCGCCGGAACCGAGCGAGGCGCCCGCGGCCUGCACAUUGCACCCGCACUUCAAGUGGCGAUUUCAAAAACACGGAGGUUGAAGCUAUUUUUAUUGCUUUUUUUUUUUUUUUUUUAGAUGAAACAAAGAGCAAUUCUAAAAUGCAUUUUAAGAACUAGACCAUUUCCCCCACGUAGCUCACAGCUUGCUCUGGCAUUCAAGGUUCGGAACUUUGCCUAAUCGCUGCCAGCGCCAGGCACCACCACGUACACUACACAGUCCACAGCAGGCGUCUGUCACACACGUACGCCAAUAAAAACAGAUGCAAUAUUUAAUGCCUUUGGGACAGAUAUUUCAUUCUCCCUGAGUCUGUUUGUCUUCACAUUCAAUCAGUUCCUCAAAACUUCUGUUUAAAAACAAUACAAAAACCAAAGCUGCACACCAUACAUCUAAACUGCUCAGUGUCAUGUUGCCAACACAGACAUUUUAAACCCGAACAGCUGUGCCGUUAUUUUGUUGUGAUUCUCAAAUGUUUGUAGUAUGAUGACAUAUUUCAACUAAUUUUUUUUUUUUUUUUCAAAUGUCCAAUCAAAUGGA